CUUACCAUUGUUAUGUUGCCUCGGCGGGGUUAGCCCCCAAAGCUUCUCCCGCCGGCAGCACUAAAUUCUUAAUUUUAUAGCGGAUUAUACUUCUGAAUACAAUACAAAACAAAUAAAAACUUUCAACAACGGAUCUCUUGGUUCUGGCAUCGAUGAAGAACGCAGCGAAAUGCGAUAAGUAAUGUGAAUUGCAGAAUUCAGUGAAUCAUCGAAUCUUUGAACGCACAUUGCGCCCGGCAGUAAUCUGCCGGGCAUGCCUGUCCGAGCGUCAUUUCAACCCUCGAGCCUAAGUUUUUUAAACUGAAGGAUCGGUGUUGGGGCGCUACAGCGGUUCUUCGGAGCAGCUGUAGGCCCUGAAAUACAGUGGCGGUCCCGCCGCGGCGCCUUCUGCGUAGUAAACUUACAGAUCGCAUUAGGUCCCGGCGAAGGCCAGCCGUCAAACCCUCUAUUUUUUAUGGU
rnacentral:rRNA from 1 species